ACGUGAUCUGAGUUCAGACCGGAGAAAUCCAGGUCGGUUUCUAUCUAUAAGAAGUCUUCUCUAGUACGAAAGGACCGAAAAGACGUAGCCUAUACAUCAGCAAGCUACCCUCACAACUUAUGAUUAAAGCUCAACAAGUAACUAGUUCAACACCCGGCCUUAAAAAAAGGCA
rnacentral:rRNA from 1 species